rnacentral:lncRNA from 1 species
AAAAAAUAAAAUAAGAGUCCUCCUCUAAUAAAACACUAUAUGCGGCACUUAUGGAAACAAAAUUAGGGAAUUAAAAUUCCCUUAAGCUACCGCCUACCAUAUCUACACGGGCUUCGGCCCUUAACAAAAAAAAAAAAAUCAAACCCAAGAAUACUUAAUUAAAAAUGAGUUUGGGACUUAAUUAUAUUUGGAACAAUUAUCUUCAAGCCCAAUCUCUAAAAUUCCUCCAUCUUCCAUGCACUUCUUCUCGAAAUUCCACCAUCUCUUCUAUCCACGAACCUCGAC